rnacentral:rRNA from 1 species
GACGAACGCUGGCGGCGUGCUUAACACAUGCAAGUCGAACGGAAAGGCCCUGCUUUUGUGGGGUGCUCGAGUGGCGAACGGGUGAGUAACACGUGAGUAACCUGCCCUUGACUUUGGGAUAACUUCAGGAAACUGGGGCUAAUACCGGAUAGGAGCUCCUGCUGCAUGGUGGGGGUUGGAAAGUUUCGGCGGUUGGGGAUGGACUCGCGGCUUAUCAGCUUGUUGGUGGGGUAGUGGCUUACCAAGGCUUUGACGGGUAGCCGGCCUGAGAGGGUGACCGGCCACAUUGGGACUGAGAUACGGCCCAGACUCCUACGGGAGGCAGCAGUGGGGAAUAUUGCACAAUGGGCGGAAGCCUGAUGCAGCAACGCCGCGUGCGGGAUGACGGCCUUCGGGUUGUAAACCGCUUUCGCCUGUGACGAAGCGUGAGUGACGGUAAUGGGUAAAGAAGCACCGGCUAACUACGUGCCAGCAGCCGCGGUGAUACGUAGGGUGCGAGCGUUGUCCGGAUUUAUUGGGCGUAAAGGGCUCGUAGGUGGUUGAUCGCGUCGGAAGUGUAAUCUUGGGGCUUAACCCUGAGCGUGCUUUCGAUACGGGUUGACUUGAGGAAGGUAGGGGAGAAUGGAAUUCCUGGUGGAGCGGUGGAAUGCGCAGAUAUCAGGAGGAACACCAGUGGCGAAGGCGGUUCUCUGGGCCUUUCCUGACGCUGAGGAGCGAAAGCGUGGGGAGCGAACAGGCUUAGAUACCCUGGUAGUCCACGCUGUAAACGGUGGGUACUAGGUGUGGGGUCCAUUCCACGGGUUCCGUGCCGUAGCUAACGCUUUAAGUAUCCCGCCUGGGGAGUACGGCCGCAAGGCUAAAACUCAAAGGAAUUGACGGGGCCCCGCACAAGCGGCGGAGCAUGCGGAUUAAUUCGAUGCAACGCGUAGAACCUUACCUGGGUUUGACAUGGAUCGGGAGUGCUCAGAGAUGGGUGUGCCUCUUUUGGGGUCGGUUCACAGGUGGUGCAUGCCUGUCGUCAGCUCGUGUCGUGAGAUGUUGGGUUAAGUCCCGCAACGAGCGCAACCCUUGUUCACUGUUGCCAGCACGUUAUGGUGGGGACUCAGUGGAGACCGCCGGGGUCAACUCGGAGGAAGGUGGGGAUGACGUCAAGUCAUCAUGCCCCUUAUGUCCAGGGCUUCACGCAUGCUACAAUGGCUGGUACAGAGAGUGGCGAGCCUGUGAGGGUGAGCGAAUCUCGGAAAGCCGGUCUCAGUUCGGAUUGGGGUCUGCAACUCGACCUCAUGAAGUCGGAGUCGCUAGUAAUCGCAGAUCAGCAACGCUGCGGCGAAUAAAUUCCCGGGGCU